rnacentral:rRNA from 1 species
UGAGUAACCUGCCCUUGACUCUGGGAUAAGCCCGGGAAACUGGGUCUAAUACUGGAUGCUACAUGUCACCGCAUGGUGGUGUGUGGAAAGGGUUUACUGGUCUUGGAUGGGCUCACGGCCUAUCAGCUUGUUGGUGAGGUAAUGGCUCACCAAGGCGACGACGGGUAGCCGGCCUGAGAGGGUGACCGGCCACACUGGGACUGAGACACGGCCCAGACUCCUACGGGAGGCAGCAGUGGGGAAUAUUGCACAAUGGGCGAAAGCCUGAUGCAGCGACGCCGCGUGAGGGAUGACGGCCUUCGGGUUGUAAACCUCUUUCAGCAGGGAAGAAGCCACAAGUGACGGUACCUGCAGAAGAAGCGCCGGCUAACUACGUGCCAGCAGCCGCGGUAAUACGUAGGGCGCAAGCGUUGUCCGGAAUUAUUGGGCGUAAAGAGCUCGUAGGCGGUUUGUCGCGUCUGCUGUGAAAGCCCGGGGCUUAACCCCGGGUGUGCAGUGGGUACGGGCAGACUAGAGUGCAGUAGGGGAGACUGGAAUUCCUGGUGUAGCGGUGGAAUGCGCAGAUAUCAGGAGGAACACCGAUGGCGAAGGCAGGUCUCUGGGCUGU